GUUUCUAUUUAAUUUUAUGGUUUGGACAAAUUUUGCAUUAAUAUAAAAAACUCAAAUAAAUUAGUGGUUUGUUCUGACAAACAAAAUCAACGAAAUAUUAGUUAUUUUUGUUUUUUAUUUUGUUAUUUUUUUUUUAAUCAUCCAUUUUUUUACUCUUCCAAUACUGCACAUGCUGUAAGGCCACUUUUUUGUUGUUGCUUUGAAC
rnacentral:lncRNA from 1 species